CUUUGGCCACCGAUGUUUCGUGGUUGGGGCAGUUCAGCUCUUUGGGCUCUUCUGAUUUUCACUGACUUUGAGAAGGGCCCAGAAACAGCAAUAACUAUUUUCUCUCCCCAGCCAGGCACCAGCACUGCACUGGGAGGCUGCAGCUGGGAGCAGGCAGGACCUGGACACAGCAGUGCAGGGCUGGGGCCUGACGGAGCCGUGGGGUUCCCACUUCCCACUCCAGCCACACCAUAUCCGUGAUCCACAACCUGUCUGCUUCCCAUCGUGCAGCUGCCUGGCAGGAGCCUGGCAGUGUCUGCAGCCUGCCCAGACAUGUUGCACACUGUGCUUGGCUGGCUGGCAAAGAGCUGGGAUACAGAGAGUGUUUUGAAUCCAUCAGCCUCCGGAGAGAGAAGCCCCCUCAGUGCCUCUGGCAGCCCUUGCAGGCCCAGGCUGUGAGGGCAGCAGCUCUGGGUUGCGGGGCAGUCUCUGGGCACCCCACUGAAGCCCUCAGGGCACACAAGCAUUCCCAAUCUCUUUCUGACUCCCAAGGGUCCUCCCUGACUCCUGGAAAAACGUAGCCUUGAGUUAAACUGUGUGGAGAGCUCUCAGCAGCAGCACAGGUUUGGGCAAAGUGGAGUCUUGUAGCUCCUGUAGAGACCUUAAACUGCAGAGACCAGAGGGAUCAGGGUAAUUUCAGGGAAACAGCCAUUGGAAUGCUUGUGCUUUUUCCCUUCUGGUUUUAAAGGUUCAAAGUCUUGUAAAAAUAUAAGAGAAAACUGUCCUUGGAAUGACUGUGCAGCUGAAAACAUCGUUGGCUUUUUGGAAUUUCCUCUUCCACCUGGUUCUUUUUUCUUUUAUUAUUAUUAUUUUUAGGGUCUUUAGACGAGAACAGAUUUGUAUUCCUCUCUUCCUGCUGCUCACCUACCACCCGAAAUCCUCGGCUGCUCCUUGCAGUUCCCACCACGACAGGCGAGCGAUAUCCCGAGCGGAGCGCUGGAGCUGCAGGGAGACUCUGCAGAUCCUGUGGAGUGCAGGAGUCAAGGCGAACAGAGACCGAUGAAUGAUGGCUCCACGCUGGGAUUUUGGAGAGUGUCUACAUGGUGUCAUUUCCUCUCACUGCUCCAUUUCUAAAGAUAAGUGCUUUGUGUUUGGAGAAGCUUUUCUGUGUUUCCAACCCCUUGACAGCACGGGCUGCUGAACGAGAACAUAGUGAAGGAAAGCAGCUGAAGAAAGAGAAGCUGUUCCUGUAGUAGGCUUCAGAAAAAUUGCUGCUUGUCUUUCCUCCCCCACAACGCUGAAUCCCAGCACCCCAGACUGUCGUGACUGCCGGGGAUUGGUGACAUCUCGAGUGACACGUGUUGGAGCAUCAGAACAGAGUGGGAGCAGCACAGCUUGGCUCCGGGAGCCAAAAAUAGGAGUCCCCAAAUGCAGCUGAGCAGGCCCCUGAUGGUUGGUGGGUGCCAGAGCUGGUGAGGGAUGACAGCGUUCUGUAGCCCCUGGGAAGUGUGCCUUGGGCUCCUGUCAGUGGGUGCUGUGUGUGGGAAUGGGGAGCAACUGCCACGUGCUGAGAAUGAGGGGAGUGAAGGAUUCCCACCAUGUGAUCCAUCAGCUCAUCUGAUCCAUCUGAUCCAUCAGCUGGGCCUUUCAGACUGCUGCAGUCUCACUUCCCUGAGACUUCCCUCCUGGCACAGACACCGGGAGAAAACGUGAUGGUGUUCACAGAGCACUGAGACUUAGGAGAUGUGAAAUGUGGACCUGCUGCUCUACCUCUGGUGACUCACACCACCUUUCUGUGGUUCUGCUGUCCUUCUGACUUCCUGUCAGGAUAACCUGGCCUGAAACCUGUCUGGGGAAAGGACUUGGUUUCCCUGUGUGAUCCUACGGUGUCUAAUACAACAGGACCCAACCUCAGAGAUACCCUUGGAUAGCCCAGCAAUGUAAGCCUGUGCUGACAUGGAUGCAGGCCAUCAGCAGUGUGGAAACAUUCCCUGUAUGAGGGAUGUGGUGGUUGGCACACGCUCCAGCACUCAAAGGGGACGAGGAUAAAUUACAGCUGGUUGCUGGUAAUCCUUGUGGCAUAUCAGAUAGCAGCGUAACUCGGCAAGGGUAAGCUGGAGAAACCCAAACAUCCUUCUGAGGAGGUAAUUAUUCCAUUGUGAAAAUGCUCCGGGACAUUUUUAGUGGCCAAACCCCCUGUUUCCUGGCAGAAACAUAAAAUAAUGAAGGAAGUUUCACAAGGAGAAACGCUUCAGACACCUGUACUAGCCGGUGCUUUGCAGUCAUAGCAGCGUUUAAUUCGCCGUGCACAUCCCUGCGUCCCCGUGCACGGCCAAAGCCACACCUGGGUUUGGGGCACUGGGGGCUGUGCCAGCGCUGCCUGGCAGAAAACCCUCUCCACAAACAAAUCUGCAAAUCCCGCUGGAUCAGGGAUAAUUUCACGGGAAUGUAGAGCUGCCUGCAACAAGAGGGACACCCUCACGGCGCGCACCGAGGUUAUCAAGGGAAACUUUCCUCGGCAGGAGUCAUACAUCCAGUGUAAAAGCCUGGAUUUUUGGGGGAACAAAUGACGUAAAACUAGUUUUAAAACAUUUUGCAACACGUUUUUGUGGGGAUGUGCCCUCGUUUCGUGUCCCGCAGUGCCCCAGGGGUCUGGUUAUCUCCCGGUUACCUCGAGCACUGGUCCUACAUAAUUUAUGUCCUGAAAGAGACGAUUCAAUUAGUCAAUAAUAAAAUGAGCAAGGACAGCGUGUGCGUUGUAAAAAUAUAAUUUAGUGGGCAACAAGCUGAGAUGGAAAAAUAUAAGGGUACACUCCAUAUGAUUAAUGA